rnacentral:rRNA from 1 species
GACGUAGGUGACGAACGUUAUCCGGAAUCAUUGGGCGUAAAGGGUGCGUAGAUGGCAUGAUAAGUUAUUAGUGGGAAAUCGAGGCUCAACCUCGUGGAAGCUAGUAAUACUGUUUUGCUUGAGUACAGAAGAGGUUAACGGAACUCCAUGUGGAGCGGUAAAAUGUGUAGAUAUAUGGAAGAACACCAAUAACGGCGAAGGCAGUUAACUAUUCUGUUACUGACAUUGAGGCACGAAAGCGUGGGGAGCAAAACGG